GGAUUGCCUCAGUAACGGCGAGUGAAGCGGCAACAGCUCAAAUUUGAAAUCUGGCUCCUCCGGGGUCCGAGUUGUAAUUUGGAGAGGAUGCUUUUGGGUGUCCACCGGCCUAAGUUCCUUGGAACAGGACGUCACAGAGGGUGAGAAUCCCGUACGUGGCCGGAAAGGUACCCUCCGUAAAGCUCCUUCGACGAGUCGGGUUGUUUGGGAAUGCAGCCCUAAAUGGGAGGUAAAUUUCUUCUAAAGCUAAAUACCGGCCAGAGACCGAUAGCGCACAAGUAGAGUGAUCGAAAGAUGAAAAGCACUUUGGAAAGAGAGUUAAACAGCACGUGAAAUUGUUGAAAGGGAAGCGCUUGCGAUCAGUCUCGACGGCGGCCGUUCGGCCUCUCUUCUGAGUGGUUUAUUCGGCCGCCGCCGGGCCAGCAUCAGUUCCGGCGGUUGGAUAAAGGCGGUGGGAAUGUGGCCCCCCCGGGGGUGUUAUAGCCCACCGCGUAAUACAGCCAGCUGGGACUGAGGUCCGCGCUUCGGCUAGGAUGCUGGCAAAA
rnacentral:rRNA from 2 species